rnacentral:rRNA from 1 species
AUACGAAGGGGGCUAGCGUUGUUCGGAAUCACUGGGCGUAAAGCGCGCGUAGGUGGAUCAAUUAGUUGAGGGUGAAAUCCCGGGGCUCAACCUCGGAACUGCCUUCAAUACUGUUGAUCUUGAGACCGAGAGAGGUGAGUGGAAUUCCUAGUGUAGAGGUGAAAUUCGUAGAUAUUAGGAAGAACACCAGUGGCGAAGGCGGCUCACUGGCUCGGUACUGACGCUGAGGUGCGAAAGCGUGGGGAGCAAGCAGGAUUAGAAACCCUAGUAGUCC